CUUUUUUAAAUGCUGAAAAAAAGAGUUCAAACAUUACUGUAUUUCCGCACCUAAAGAAGCUCCCAGCGCUGAGCUCCCUCCUGCAUCUGACGUCAGCAGGGAGACUCGUGGGGUCCAAUUACAGGCUUCUCUCGGAGAAGCCUGUGAUUGGACCAUUUCGCUGGCUCAAAGCACAUGCACACAAUCAGCGGGUGAGGGAAGGGAGUGGGGAGUUUACAGGUGAUGGGGAAAACAUUUUGAAAACAAAAUUAGGCAAAGCGGGGGGGGGGGGCUCAAUAAAUAAUGGGAGGGAGUGAAGAGCGAGUUUGGAGGUCUGGACUGCCUAAGUCACAUGUGCAAGGGGCAUAACUAGCCCGUGGCACACAAGUGCCAAGCAGAAACACUGUACAAACAUACUCCUACCACCAUGACCCCUUCAAAUCACCCUUUAAGGAAUUAAA